GACGUAGGGUCCGAGCGUUGUCCGGAAUUACUGGGCGUAAGGAGCUCGUAGGUGGUUUGUCGCGUUGUUCGUGAAAACUCACAGCUUAACUGUGGGCGUGCGGGCGAUACGGGCAGACUGGAGUACUGCAGGGGAGACUGGAAUUCCUGGUGUAGCGGUGGAAGUGCGCAGAUAUCAGGAGGAACACCGGUGGCGAAGGCGGGUCUCUGGGCAGUAACUGACGCUGGAGGAGCGAAGGCGUGGGGAGCGAACAGG
rnacentral:rRNA from 1 species